UACGUAGGGUGCGAGCGUUAAUCGGAAUUACUGGGCGUAAAGCGUGCGCAGGCGGUGGCUCAAGCCAGGCGUGAAAUCCCCGGGCUUAACCUGGGAACUGCAUUUGUGACUGCAUGGCUAGAGUGCGGCAGAGGGGGAUGGAAUUCCGCGUGUAGCAGUGAAAUGCGUAGAUAUGCGGAGGAACACCGAUGGCGAAGGCAAUCCCCUGGGCCUGCACUGACGCUCAUGCACGAAAGCGUGGGGAGCAAACAGG
rnacentral:rRNA from 1 species